CCUCCAGGUGAUGCCACGUCACUAAGUGGAGGAAGAAAACGCUGCCACGUGUCUCAUUCUUUUAAAAACACUGCAUUCGUACGGGCUUUGCAUUUUGUUGGGCCCAAAUCAUCUCUUUCUCUAGCCCUUAAGGGUAUACUUGAUGAAACACGGCGUUUUCCAUUAGGUUCUUCUUCGUCUCUUUUCUGUCUCCAGCGCUAAUGGCGAUUGAAGUUUCUAAUACGCUCUUUCAUCUUCUUCUUCACUGUCUGAAACAAUACAUAUAACGGAGUUAUCCUCUUUAAUCUCACAGGUCUCCAGCGAAUCGAUCCUUUCAUGAGGAGAUCCUAAUCACAGCAGCUCAUGCUACCUUCUAUGAAUUCAACAUUGAGAUCAGUCAAUGGAGUCGUAAGGAUGUUGAAGGGUCUUUGUUUGUUGUCAAAAGAAGUAAACAAGAACCUCGGUUUCAGUUUAUUGUAAUGAAUCAUGGGAACACAGGUCAGCCAGAGAAGCAUCAAAUUACUUUUUUUGUUGAUGUCUUUGUCUUUGAUUAGUUGCUUCGUUUUUUUCAGUGUUUUAGUUUGUUUAAAGCUAAGGGAAGGUCAGGGAAGGCUUACCCGAUGAUUUUGUUUUGAAUUCUUGAUUAAGGAGAUUGUAUUAGUAAUCAUCAGUGUAUUGUUUAAAUUUUGCCUGGGCAGAUACUCUGGUGGAAGAUCUCCUGGGAGAUUUUGAGCCUGAGAAGGUACUCUGAAAUUUGAUGUUUCUUAGCUAACUAGCAACCUAAUAAGAAACGCAAAAUGGGAAGACCAAUUACUCUUACAGUGCCUCCUGCAGCAUCAUCUUCGCAGACCGGUUCUCUCACACGGUAACUUAUCCGAAUCAGACACUCUGACUACUAUAAAUCAAGAACGCCGCAUAGCUAAAGAUUCUGCUCGAAGUGCCAGACAGCUACGAAUGGAGAUUUGUGUAAAGAGAAAAAAAGGGCCCAGAUAGCUGGAUCUUCAUCGGCAUCUGCAUCUACUUCCGGAAGCUCAAAAAGACCACGUGAAAAUGAUCUCAAGACAUAUGACAAAUGGGAGUUGGUCUCAUGUCCAUCCUGUAAAGCGUUGUUCUGGAAUGCUGAAGCACCUCGAGUUCAGACAAACCAAGAGAGCAAGCAGUUUAGUCUUUGUUGUCAGAGAGGUCGUGUGAGACUUCCACCAGUUCGGGAGCCACCGUCUCCAUUUCUAGAGCUUUUAGAGUCGCCGAGCUUCAAGCCCCACAUCAGAAUUGCUAACAGUUUGCUUGAUUUCCCCUCUAUGGGUGCCAAAAUUGAUAAGAGCGUCACUGGGUAUGGACAUGAGAAGAUCUCCAUGACUCCAUCAUCAAACAACCGCUUGGUCACAGUGCAAUUUGAAGGAUCCUAGGUCAAUCUUAACUUCGAUACCUAUGUCUUUAUUUCAUUGUCUUCAAAAGAUGAUAUACUGACUCUUCUUAUGUCAUGUAUCUAAUUAUCUCCUUGAUUAUCACAUUAAAGACCAGCUAACUUUGUUUGCUUGGUUUUUUAUAUUCAAAAGUGCCUUCUCAGAUCAAUGAAAACAUUUUUGGUUUGUUUAUGGUCACUGUAGUUCCUGCUGGGCAUAUGGUGUUGUAGAAGCAUUGUCUAACAGGUUAUGCAUAAAUAUAAUAUGGUUUCACAAAUUUUCAAAAAAUACAAACAUUGAUUUUUGCUAGCAUUUUUCUCUCUGAAAGAUUAAUAUGGUUUCUUAUGUUCCCAUGACAGAAUGUUUCUUUAUCCGUUAAUAAUAUCGUACCAACUUAUGGAUUCCUUUGUGGUCAAGGCUGUAAUGGAAUUUUGGAUCCUAAUGGUAAACUGAUUGUCAUCUAUAGACUGUCAUAACUGGUUUUAUGACCCCCCAUCUACAUGAUUCUAUAAAAGUGUGGCCUUUUACAUUUACAUGUGCUUGAAUCUGACGAUCUGGUCUAUAACACUGUUUUAGAUUAAUUCUCCCAAGUUAUCUUUUUAUAAAAAUUGAGCAGUGAAUCUAACAGUGUUGUAGUCUUCUUACUUGCUCCAUCUCUGCUUUGAUUCUAUUGAAAACCAUUUUAUGUAAUUCUUUCUGUCUGCACCAGCAAGCAAGAAAUGGAUAUGGCUAAACAUAGUACUGUAUGUAUUCUACUGGAGUAGGAUUUCUAUGUGAAUUAGGAAUCAUAUGAAUAUGAUUUAGAUAAGGUUUUCUAUUAUUUUUCUAGAUAGUUUUGGCUUUAAGUUUUCCUGUUUUCGAAUUACUUCUCUUGGUAUAAAUACCAAGCUUCAUUCUCAAUAAUAUUCAAGUUAACUUUGAUCCCAAACUAAGAUUUAUCAUGGUAUCAGAGCAUAACCAAAACUAAAAACAUCCAAAAUCGAUUAAUGGCCUAUGACUCAAUAAUAUUAUGUUCUUUCAUGAAAACAUAUUCAUGUUCGACAUAUGACACUAACUUAUCUUGCAGUUCUACAUUUCCAGUUCUGAUGAAAAAACAUCCUAUUAAAACUGACCCUAUUAAUUAAAUAAUUGGCUUCAUAUACAAAGUCCCUAAUGUGUAUUUACUACCUUAUUUACACAGAAAAUAAAUAAAUAUAUUUCAAAUAAGUCGACACAACUGAUGAAUAACAUAACCGCAUAAAAUAUUAACCAUACAACAAAAACUAAUCAAAAGUACGUAUAACUAAAAAAAUAAUAGUAGUAUUUUUUAAAAAAAAUAAUGGAUUGCAUAUUUUUUAUAAAUAUUUAUUGUUUAGUAGAAAUAGUCGUUCGUAUAUUUUGAUGGAAAACUAUAUAUAUAUAGAUAAAAAAUUGAAACGGUGAUUGUUUUACUAAUUAACAAUUGAUAUUAAAAUUACAAUGCAUCUAUUUAGAUCAAAUUUUGAAUAGUUAUUUAGUUUAAUAUAAUAAAUAUUUAGUUGUUAAAUAUUUUCCGUACGCUUUUGUAUUCUUUUGUAUUAUGUUAUAAUUAUCUAAACAUCAAUCACAAAAUUUCAGUGAGAAUUUAACAGCUUAUUAAUUUAUAGUCAUUUUUUUCAAUUUCAACACAUAAUAUAUAUUGAGUACG